CACGCCCCUCCUCCCCACCAUUACGUGCACGCCCCUCCUCCCCACCACCACUCAGAGCCACCAGUGUCUCCACCAAAACACGGGUGUGAGGAAAUGUGCGUUGAGCACUGCAAGAGUCACCGCCCCGAGAGGGAGUGCAUGAAGGGCUGCACAGCUUGCUGCGACAAGGCCAAGUGCGUCCCCUCUCCCAAAUCCAAGUGCAUGCCCUGGGACUACGCCACCGUCCAUGGCAAGAAGAUCAAGUGCCCAUAGAAGCUUAGCUCCACACGCCCAUCAUCACAUGGUUGCUAAAUAAUAUGCCCCUCUCAUAGGUUCCCAUGUUACUUUCUUUUUUGCUUGUGUUUUCGUUGAAUUGGCAUACGGAAAGAUGUUCUUUUGCUUCUUGUGAUAUUACUGUAAUAAGUCCUGGGAUAGGACAAUGGCUGCUUUCCUUGUAGAAACCCCCCCUUUUUCUUCUUUUCGGAUAUGUAUUUCUCUCGUUCGGAAUGUCUAUGAUUCAUGGACUGAAUUGUUUGAUCCGCCGUUUCUAUGUUAUGAUAAAGAUGAGACAAAUGUUGAACGUUA